CUGUGACGAAAGUUCAACGGCCGCGGUACCCUGACCGUGCGAAGGUAGCGUAAUCACUUGUCUUUUAAAUAGAGACCUGUAUGAAUGGCAUAACGAGGGCUGUGCUGUCUCCUUUCUCCUGUCAAUGAAAUUGAUCUGCCCGUGCAGAAGCGGGCAUCAACGCAUAAGACGAGAAGACCCUAUGGAGCUUUAGACACCAAAGAAGACCGUGUUAAGACUCCUAAAAUAAAUGGAAAAAACAAGACGAGUCCUACUUAUUUGUCUUUGGUUGGGGCGACCGCGGAGAACAACAAAACCCCCGCGUGGAACGGGACUUACCCUGAAAUGAGGCCCACAGGCCCAAGAUCCAGAAAAUCUGACCAAAAGAUCCGGCUAUGCCGAUCAACGGACCCAGUUACCCUAGGGAUAACAGCGCAAUCCUCUUUUAGAGCUCACAUCGACAAGGGGGUUUACGACCUCGAUGUUGGAUCAGGACCUCCUAAUGGUGCAGCCGCUAU
rnacentral:rRNA from 1 species